rnacentral:lncRNA from 1 species
GACAGGACUAUGUUAAAAAAGCCUACCUUAUCUCAGCAGAGUACAAAAUUACAUUAUUGAUGAGGACUAAAUUCAAAAGCAGGCGAAUGGAAUGUGUCUUUAAAAGUUAAAAAAAAAAAAAAGAGAAACUGCUUUUUCUAUGUUUGUGGCCCUCAGUCAAUUUUUUCAUGAAUUAACAGCCUUGGCUUUUGCUAGAAAAUAGAUAACCCACACUGCAGAUUGGGCCUUGCCAACAGGAGGCAGCAGAACAACAAUUGGUAAAAGAAUGAACUAAUAGAGCCACUCCUGAUUCACUGGAAGAUUGGGAGAGCAGGUGACACUGUCUGGUUCAGCCCAGCUGUCAGGAGCACAAUGAGUCAGUUGCUUAACAGGAAGAAUGCAGGACUCAGAGGCCUGGAGGCAGAAAGCUGUGGAUUACGAGAGUGCUAAUACCUUUCAGAGUACAUUCUUUGAACAUUAGAGGUGGGAGAGGACUUACAGAUCACUUUAUAGGGUAGCCGGGGUUCAGAGAGGAAAGUGACUUGCCUAAGGUUACACAGAGAGUUAUGGCAGAGUUGACAUUAAAGCUCAGGUCCCUGUACUUCCAGGACCACUACAUCUCAAUUCAGUUAAAGAAGAAAUAAAAAUAACCGAGAUUGGAAAUGAAGUCAGCCUUUAUGCAUAGAUGACAGGCCCAUCUAGGGAGAAAUAUCCAACGGACUUACAACAAGCUAGUAGAAUAAGAAAGUUCUGUUUGAUAGCAGGAAACAAGGUAAGAUCAGUUGUAUUUCCAUAUACCAGCAACAAUCAAUUGGAACUUGAAUUUAAAAAAAUACUAUUUACAAUAGCAUCAAAAAGUAGGAAAUCCUUGAGGAUAAAUCAAGAACAAAAGAUGUAGAAGGGGACCAAACUUUCCCUGCCUGCAGAGAGCUGUGGUACAGAUAGGGGCUGAGAGGAGAGUGGCUGCCAACAGAGGGCGCAGGGCGGACGCACGGCCCACGCAGCUGUGGUGAAGAUCCGCUUCCAACCCGUGGUGGCCCUCAUCAAGGCCGGCAAGACUGACAAGGCUUCGGCCUUGGUCUCCGCCCUGGUGUCCGCCCCGGGCGCUGAGAUCCUGCUGACCCUGGCUGAGGAGAAGCCCUUGGGAGGAAGGGCCCCUCACCAUCCCUACAAGACGCGGGGGCUCUGUCCAUGGGCAUGGACCUGCCGCUCAUGGGCCUGGUGUUCCCUUCCGUCCACAUCUACAGAUCCUUCUUUCUCAUUCAGCUGGCCCGAGGCAAUUUCUUCCCCUGUGGGGUCUUCUAGGAGGCCUCCCUGUCCUCCCAGGUCCGCACUCGCAUGGAGCUGGAGGAGGACGGAAGAUCUAACUGGAGGAGAGGAACCGUGGGGGCAUCAACGUGCUUGUGCCCUGGUUUGGGGACAUCCUCCGCGAUUCCAGCAAGGGCUCACUGUCUAUCAUGACUUUCUCCCUAGACAGGAGCCACUUCAUUGUUCAACACCAGCAACCUGCUGCCCCCUCGCAACUUCUGGGAGUUUCUGGUGAGGACGUGCAGAGGGGCACCUACCUCCCACAGACACACAUCACCCCGGAGGAGAUGGUGGUCACGGAGCACGUCAGCGACAAGAGGCCUCGGCCUCCUUCGCCUCCCACCUG